rnacentral:lncRNA from 1 species
AACCUCAGUCAAGCCUCAUGGGACACGGGCUUACUUGGGUCGGGCUUAAAAGUAUCGUUUUUAAAUGGCAUCUAAAAAUCUUAGUCCAACCCUAUUAAAUCAUGGGAUGGGUUAGGUCGGCCCAGCGUGCCAAGCCCAUAUUGACAGCUCUAAUCUACAGUGACAGCAAAACAUCUAUACAAAUAGCUGCAAAUCCAGUUUAUCACGAAAGAACCAAGCAUAUUAAAAUCGACUGUCAUAUUAUGAGAGAAAAAAAUUCAACAGGGACUAGUUACUACCAAAUACAUUGCAACAACAUAUCAAUUUGUUGAUAUUCUCACAAAAGGGACUAAUCAAAGUGCAGCAUGAGUAUUUAAAUCCAAGCUAGGUGUGUUCAAAUUUUUUCACCACCUAGCUUGUGGGGCAUUAAUGUUAAAUAAUGUGAGGGUAUAAAAGUCUUUGUAUAGAGUAGUUGUUAAUUAGCCGUUAAUUACUGUUAGGAGUUAAUUAAGUUGUUAGAAAUACAGUGUUGAAUAAAGUGUAUAAAGUAAGUGGAGUUCUUGUAUUCUGUAAGUUUUUGAGUAAUGAAAAUUGGUAUACAUUUCCUACGUCUCUCUCUAUCUCUCACCGAGUGUGUCUUCUUCUUCCUUAUAAAGCAAGCUCCAACCAUAGCUAUACAGCCACUGGUGUUUGCCCAAUUAACUUUUAUGAGUUGCCCAAACCUGUAAAUGACAUAAUAAGAGUCUAAAACAAUACCCAGGCCAACAGAGUAGCAAACAAGUCCUACUUACAGAUGUCUCCCAUUAAGAGAGAUUAUCACCUGUCCAGCUGAUCUACGAUCAGAAUAAUGAACAAAAUUAUAGGAAAUAUGGCCCAGGAAACACAAGAAAAGAGGAGACUCAAAGAAAUUAUACAGACGCCACAUGAAAAUUACGUAAUCGGCACAAGAAGAAGUACCUUUUCCUUCCUUGCAAGCUUGUUUGCCUCACCGAGACGAGUACUCGGAAAAACUUCUCGACUUUUGGGUGAAUGCAUUUUCUCACAAGUAAAAGAAAUUAGUUUAAACCACACAGUUCAGUUGUUUCUUCACUUUGAACAGGCGAUAUAGGGUUUUUAGUUGGGGAAAAAAGAGAAAAUGCCCAAAAUAAUCCGGUAUCUUUGGC